UUAAGUUAGGUUAGGUUAAAUACAGACGGCCUGCCAGCUGUGUGUCUCCGGAUGUUUCUCCCAUUGGAAUAACAGUAACGAACCCUGGCGUCACCCAGCAACUGGAACUCACCAAGCAGCUCGUCAGUGGCCGUCCAUUCCAGGAACUGUCAUUCUGGUUCAUAGGAACGAUGAUCACGUGCUCAUCUAGCCUAACGAAAAGGAAGCAGCAAGAGUUUUGGAUACCCUAUUAAGACAAAGGCGGAGACUGCAUGCUCAGACAAAGCACAGCUUGGUGACUCUAAUGCCAAAAGCGUAUUUCCAGACGUCUCUUCUCUCCUUGGUCUUUCUCUCUGGUUUUUGUUUCCCCCCAAGUCAGACCCCACCAAUCCAUUAUUGACCAGAGGGAUGCAGCCAUCAUGAUUUGGAUUAAGUACAAUUCUCUCCUGGAGCUGGGUGGGGUCUGCCUUCCUGUGAUCCUUUUGGAAAGAGAGUCAGUAGAACAGAAUUCAGGCUCUGGAUGUAAGGAAUAGCCGUCACAGGAGCAGCCAGCCUGUGAUGGUGAAGCAGGAGCCAGGUAAGGGUCAUGGAAGGUGUGGACACAGAAUGAAACACUUCUUUCUUAAAUUGGACUUCAAUAAAGUUUAACCCUGGUGAAGACACUCGGGGAAGAGGUCGGUGCUGGGAGCCGCCCUGAUGCAGUUUUUCCUCAGCAUGAAACUAGUGUUCCAGAAGGAAAGCGCUUGAGACUCCAAGAGGAAACAAAAAGGCUCAGGGACCUCGGGCAGCUACAAGAGGCACCGAGCCCCUCCCUUAAGGAGAAGGGACCUCCAGGCACACAGAGCUGCCUGUGAGCGGGACAGGGAAUCCGGAGGAUGCAACUUUCAUGAUUUGUCACUCGUGCUGGGGUGGGGUCCUUUGAGUCACCCAUGUUCCUUUAACCCCAAUAAACUGACUGGUUCACUAUGCCGUGGGUGCCCUGUCUGGAAGGAAUACACUUUUGUUCAUGUCAUCACAGGAAAUGUUAUGCAACAUGCUCCUAAUACCUCCUCUCCAUCACCCCCUUUAUCCACCACUAAUUUUCAUAGUGCCUAUAUAUAUAUUUAAUCUGAUGGCCUUAUCCUGACCGACAAUCGUGGUCCACGCUGACCUCCUGCAGGUGCUGAAACAACCACCACCACCUCCGUGGGGCCCAGCCUUUCCUUCCCCCUGCAAGCCUCAGCUUUGCUGCCGCUGCCCACCUGUGCCCAGCACUCUGCAUGGAAAGGGUCCCCAUCCUUCACUGUACUGAGGGUGUAAUGAGCACCCUGCUCGCCAAGACGCCCAAACCAAGACAGGUCAUUGCUCUGCUUGAAA